rnacentral:tRNA from 1 species
GGCUCGGUAGCUUAGUUGGUAAAGCGCUCGUCUAGUCCUGGGUUCGAAUCCCAGCCGAGCAC